UACAGAGGGGGCAAGCGUUAUUCGGAAUUAUUGGGCGUAAAGGGCGCGUAGGCGGGCAUGCGUGUCUUCCGUGAAAUCCCUCGGCUUAACUGAGGACGUGCGGAAGAAACUGCAAGGCUCGAGUCCGGGAGAGGGGGGUGGAAUUCCCAGUGUAGCGGUGAAAUGCGUAGAUAUUGGGAAGAACACCCGUGGCGAAGGCGGCUCCCUGGGACGGUACUGACGCUGAGACGCGAAAGCGUGGGGAGCGAACAGG
rnacentral:rRNA from 1 species